rnacentral:rRNA from 1 species
AUGGCAACUUAUUUAUGGCCCAAAGAAUUUGUUAUACAUUCUGAUCAUGAAUCUUUGAAACACAUUAAAAGUCAAGCAAAACUGAACAGUAGACAUGCUAAAUGGGUUGAAUUCAUUGAGACUUUCCCUUAUGUCAUUAAACACAAGAAGGGUAAAGAAAAUGUUAUUGCUGAUGCAUUGUCUCGUCGUUAUACUAUGCUUUCACAACUUGACUUUAAAAUAUUUGGUUUGGAGACCAUCAAAGAUCAAUAUGUGCAUGAUGCUGAAUUUAAAGAUGUAUUGCAGAAUUGUAAAGAAGGUAGAACAUGGAACAAGUUCGUCGUUAAUGAUGGAUUUGUGUUUCGUGCUAACAAGCUAUGCAUUCCAGCUAGCUCCGUUCGUCUUUUGUUGUUGCAGGAGGCGCAUGGAGGAGGACUAAUGGGACACUUUGGCGUGAAGAAGACGGAGGAUAUACUUGCUACACAUUUCUUUUGGCCAAAGAUGAGACGGGAUGUUGAGCGUUUUGUUGCUCGCUGCACUACAUGUCAAAAAGCUAAGUCACGACUCAAUCCUCAUGGUUUAUAUAUGCCUUUGCCUGUACCUAGUGUUCCUUGGGAGGAUAUAUCUAUGGACUUUGUUUUAGGUUUACCUCGAACAAAGAAGGGGAGGGAUAGCAUAUUUGUUGUCGUGGAUAGAUUCUCGAAAAUGGCACACUUUAUACCAUGUCAUAAAAGCGAUGAUGCUGUUAAUGUUGCUGAUUUGUUCUUUCAUGAAAUUAUUCGCUUGCAUGGUGUGCCAAAUACUAUUGUUUCAGAUCGUGAUACUAAAUUUCUUAGCCACUUUUGGAUAUGUUUAUGGGCUAAGUUGGGGACUAAACUGCUUUUUAGUACUACUUGUCACCCCCAAACUGAUGGACAAACUAAAGUAGUCAAUAGAACAUUAUCUACUAUGCUUAGGGCUGUUUUGAAGAAUAAUAAGAAAAUGUGGGAAGAAUGCUUGCCUCAUAUUGAAUUUGCUUAUAAUCGUUCAUUGCAUUCUAGUACUAAGAUGUGCCCUUUUGAAAUUGUGUAUGGUUUCCUACCUCGUGAACCAAUUGAUUUGUUGCCUCUUCCAUCUUCGGAGAAGGUUAAUUUUGAUGCCAAAGAACGUGCUGAAUUGAUUUUAAAAAUGCAUGAGUUAACUAAGGAAAACAUUGAGCGUAUGAAUGCUAAAUAUAAACUUGCUGGAGAUAAGGGUAGAAAACAUGUUGUGUUUGCACCUGGAGAUCUUGUUUGGUUACAUUUGCGUAAGGAUAGAUUUCCUAAUUGCGCAAAUCAAAGCUAA